AGUAGAAAAAAAUAAAAUAAAAUAAGAAACACAAUACAAAUACAUGGAUCAGCCUUAAGCUUACCUCCAUGGGAUGUGCAAGCUUCACUAUGAGAGAAUAAAAUACAAUAAAUACAAGAGAAACUCACUACUCAACCCUUGUAUAAGAGUCUCUCAACAAAAAAUCUCAAAACUCACACAAAAGCUCUCUAAAAUCUCUCUUGAAGCCUUUCUAUAUCUCC
rnacentral:lncRNA from 1 species